AGAGUUUGAUCCUGGCUCAGGAUGAACGCUAGCUACAGGCUUAACACAUGCAAGUCGAGGGGCAGCAUGACCUAGCAAUAGGUUGAUGGCGACCGGCGCACGGGUGAGUAACACGUAUCCAACCUACCGGUUAUUCUGGGAUAGCCUUUCGAAAGAAAGAUUAAUACCGGAUAGUAUAACGAGAAGGCAUCUUUUUGUUAUUAAAGAAUUUCGAUAAUCGAUGGGGAUGCGUUCCAUUAGUUGUUGGCGGGGUAACGGCCACAAGACAUCGAUGGAUAGGGGUUCUGAGAGGAAGGUCCCCCANAUUGGAACUGAGACACGGUCCAAACUCCUACGGGAGGCA
rnacentral:rRNA from 1 species